rnacentral:rRNA from 1 species
GAUGAACGCUGGCGGCGUGCCUAAUACAUGCAAGUCGAGCGAACAGACGAGGAGCUUGCUCCUCUGACGUUAGCGGCGGACGGGUGAGUAACACGUGGAUAACCUACCUAUAAGACUGGGAUAACUUCGGGAAACCGGAGCUAAUACCGGAUAAUAUAUUGAACCGCAUUGUUCAAUAGUGAAAGACGGUUUUGCUGUCACUUAUAGAUGGAUCCGCGCCGCAUUAGCUAGUUGGUAAGGUAACUGCUUACCAAGGCAACGAUGCGUAGCCGACCUGAGAGGGUGAACGGACAGACUGGAACUGAGGAACGGGCCAGACUCCUACGGGAGGCAGCAGUAGGGAAUCUUCCGCAAUGGGCGAAAGCCUGACGGAGCAACGCCGCGUGAGUGAUGAAGGUCUUCGGAUCGUAAAACUCUGUUAUUAGGGAAGAACAAAUGUGUAAGUAACUAUGCACGUAUUGACGGUACCUAAUCAGAAAGCCACGGCUAACUACGUG